AUUGAACGCUGGCGGCAGGCCUAACACAUGCAAGUCGAGCGGAUGAAGGGAGCUUGCUCCUGGAUUCAGCGGCGGACGGGUGAGUAAUGCCUAGGAAUCUGCCUGGUAGUGGGGGAUAACGUCCGGAAACGGGCGCUAAUACCGCAUACGUCCUGAGGGAGAAAGUGGGGGAUCUUCGGACCUCACGCUAUCAGAUGAGCCUAGGUCGGAUUAGCUAGUUGGUGGGGUAAAGGCCUACCAAGGCGACGAUCCGUAACUGGUCUGAGAGGAUGAUCAGUCACACUGGAACUGAGACACGGUCCAGACUCCUACGGGAAGCAGCAGUGGGGAAUAUUGGACAAUGGGCGAAAGCCUGAUCCAGCCAUGCCGCGUGUGUGAAGAAGGUCUUCGGAUUGUAAAGCACUUUAAGUUGGGAGGAAGGGCAGUAAGUUAAUACCUUGCUGUUUUGACGUUACCAGCAGAAUAAGCACCGGCUAACUUCGUG
rnacentral:rRNA from 1 species